AUUUUGAAGGAGAUAAAAUAAAUUUGCCUGAAAUUUAACUCUAUUUUGUUUUAUUUAAAAAUUCCCGGUACUUUCUGAUCAUAGGGUAUAUGCUGCGAUGCAGUUUGAAUAAUCCAUGCUUUGAAAUGACAAGAGACAUUAUUAUCGUCUGAUUUUCAAAAUAAAUUUUAAAAAUAAAACUGUGUCACAGAAACGAUCUAAAGCUCAUUUCUUUUCAAAGUUAUUACAUGUUUGAUUAUAUAAACGAUAGGAGAUUACCCUAUAUCGAUCUAUGAAUGAAUGUUCACACAAACGAUUGACUACAGGAAGAUUUAAUUAUCCAAACACUUUGUGGUGGUUUUAUGGCGGGUUUGUUACGUCCUACGAAAAUCAAGAGAAACUUGGAACGAGAAGGACUUGUUGCGAACGUAACAGAUUAUGUGACGCAUGUACAUAUAAUGCGAUAUAUGCACAAUAUAUUAAACUAGUACACUCUUCUAAACGCAAACGUUAUUAACGUUCUGAUAAAAGCCGUUAUGGAAGAAAGUGCAAUUGGCUUUCGAUUUUUUUGUCGAGUCAAAAAUGUUAAGGUGUGGUUCGGUGAAUCUUACACACAGCGCAGCAAGAGACUGAAAGACUCUUAGUGUAACUCCUUGAUAUAUACUUGUCACAAAGUUUAUUAAUGUAAGACAAAAUGAAAUGUAAUGCGUACAGUAUGAUAAAAUACACGCUGCUUAAAUACAGCACGACCGUGCGCGCAUAACAAGAGAGAAAAA